UCCNCCUGGGGAGUACGACCGCAAGGUUGAAACUCAAAGGAAUUGACGGGGGCCCGCNCNANCGGUGGAGCAUGUGGUUUAAUUCGAAGCAACGCGAAGAACCUUACCAGGUCUUGACAUCCCGAUGCUAUUCUUAGAGAUAGGAAGUUACUUCGGUACAUCGGAGACAGGUGGUGCAUGGUUGUUGUCAGCUCGUGUCGUGAGAUGUUGGGUUAAGUCCCGCAACGAGCGCAACCCUUAUUGUUAGUUGCCAUCAUUAAGUUGGGCACUCUAGCGAGACUGCCGGUAAUAAACCGGAGGAAGGUGGGGAUGACGUCAAAUCAUCAUGCCCCUUAUGACCUGGGCUACACACGUGCUACAAUGGUCGGUACAACGAGUUGCGAGCCGGUGACGGCAAGCUAAUCUCUGAAAGCCGAUCUCAGUUCGGAUUGGAGGCUGCAACUCGCCUCCAUGAAGUCGGAAUCGCUAGUAAUCGCGGAUCAGCACGCCGCGGUGAAUACGUUCCCGGGCCUUGUACACAC
rnacentral:rRNA from 1 species